rnacentral:misc_RNA from 1 species
CGAAAUGCGAUAAGUAGUGUGAAUUGCAGAAUUCAGUGAAUCAUCGAAUCUUUGAACGCACAUUGCGCCCUUUGGUAUUCCUUAGGGCAUACCUGUUCGAGCGUCAUCUAAACCUUCAAGCCCUGCUUGGUGUUGGGUGCCUGUCCCGCCUCCGCGCGCGGACUCACCUCAAAUCCAUUGGCGGCCCCCGCGUCGGCCACGAGCGCAGCAGAAACGCGAACUCGUGAGCCCGCCCGGGCGGCUCCCAGAAGCUACACCCACCCAGUUUGACCUCGGAUCAGGUAGGGAUACCCGCUGAACUUAAGC